UUAAUUUUAUGUUCUGUUUCCAUCCUCCUCUAACACCUUCCUUCCUUGAGGUUAAGCCGCAGAAUGGGCUUAAUGAGCUGGUUGGGUCAUCAGUUAUCAACUUAAGAUAAAUGGCAGUUGGGGGAAGGUGGGGGAAGGGGGUCCCAUCCCUGAAGUCCCAGUGCCUGGCCCAGUCAGCCAACCACCCCACUUCAUCAAGAGCAAAGGAAGGCUGUGGGUGGUUUUCAUAUCAAGACAGCAAAGCAGCAUGUUAAGAGCUCCCCCAGAAUCGUGCAGAAACCCCAAGUGUUCUUUCCAGCUCUGUCUGGUUCUGGGCUGAGCGGCUCAGACCAUGCCGUUAGCUCCUCUGGAUCUGUCUUCUGAGAAAUGAGACCUAAUAGACGUGGCCUUCUGCAGAAAAGUUCUGUAGCUGACUUUCUGACAAGCCACGGGCAAGAAGGCAGAGGAUAAUUAAUUACGACCACCGUGCAAGCCUCCAAAGAAAGGUAAGGCCCCUGUGGCUGCUCCAUCUGACGUAUCAGGAAACUGAGGCACAGAAUGAGGAGGGGCUCCGCCUCAGGUCGACGUGCCCGCCAUCAGGACCGCACAAACACAGGAAAGCGCUUACAUCUCAGGUCUUCUCUUGAAGCUCAGCGGUGCCCCACCACUUUCUCCGCGACCACAUGCCCACAUAGAAAUCAUUUUGGUUGUUUGGUGUUAAUCAAAAUUGACAGGCAUGCAAAUCACAGCCCAAGAUUCUAGUCCUUUGAAAUUGCUUUAUUAAUCACUGUAUUUGUGAAGACUCAGAGAAAAAUCUCAGUGGUAAUAUUCUAAGAGCCUUUGACAAGCUCAGAGUUGUCCUGUAAUGAUACGGAAGACAGACAGUGGUCAAGUCACUCAGUGAUGGUUCUCUGAGAAUGACCGUUUGGGUUUUUUUCUUUCCACGCAGUUGCCAGGGUUUUUGUGUUCAGGCUGGUAGAUGUCACUCGGCUUUAUGAAAUGGGUGUGAUUCGGCACAGCUGUGGUUCUUUGUCC
rnacentral:lncRNA from 9 species